CAAAGUAUAGUUAGAGUAGUUUAACAUUUCGUUUACGUUGAAAAGAAUUAUCGUGCAAAUCGAUUUACUUUGA
rnacentral:tRNA from 1 species